UUUACGCAUGCAAAAGAACCAUAUGCAAAUCGUUCUUUGUUGAUAUUUUUUGAAUGAGCCCGAUUCCGAAGUCGGAUGAAGAAAUGAUGACAAAGAAGACUUUAUUUUGAUUCCUGACCACCAGCCACUUGAUGCCAGCCUCGAUCUGAGACCUGGCGACAUUUACAUUUGUAAUGCGAUGCAAUGCGGAGUACUGUCGGCAAUUUAUGUCCUUUUGUGUGUGUACUUUCAUUUUUUAGACGUUCCGUGCCUUCGUGCGAUUUAUUUAUGCUGUCGACUUGUGUUACUUGGCGUGUAACAAGUUCCCAUUAAAUAAUUCAUGCCAAAUGCCAAAAAAAUAAAGGAAGAAGAAGGAUUUACUCCACUUAAAAGGAAAAGAAUUAACAACAUGUUUUAUAUUAUCUUACAGAACAAGGAUUAUAAAAAAACUCAUUUUAAACUUAUAUAUAAUUGGUGAAGCUACUUUUGGAAUGAUAAUAGUAAUGAAUUUAAAUAUAGCUUAUCGAGAGACUAAAGUAAACCAAAAACACCUAAUUAAUUCAAUUAACUCCAAUUCCUCAUAUUAUUAAGUUUCCAAAUAAGUUAUAUAUAGAUAAGUAUAUCUAUAUGUAGUAUUUAUGAAGAAUUUUUUACAGUUUAUUUAAUUUUAUAGUUGUAGUUUUCUACUUUACUGUGACAGUAGCUCUAUUAACAGAACUUGGAACUUAAGAAAAAGAAGAAAUCUUCCACGUGAAAUAAAUGAUUUAUGUUAUGAA